rnacentral:rRNA from 1 species
CCUACGGGAGGCAGCAGUGAGGACUAUUGGUCAAUGGGCGCGAGCCUGAACCAGCCAAGUAGCGUGAAGGAUGACUGCCCUACGGGCUGUAACCUUCUUUUAUAAAGGAAUAAAGUGAGUCACGUGUGCCUUUUUGUAUGUACUUUAUGAAUAAGGAUCGGCUAACUCCGUGCCAGCAGCCGCGGUAAUACGGAGGAUCCGAGCGUUACCCGGAUUUAUUUGGUUUAAAGGGAGCGUAGAUGGGUUGUUAAGUCAGUUGUGAAAGUUUGCGGCUCAACCGGAAAAUUGCCAUUGAUACUGGCAGCCUGGAGUACAGUUGAGGUAGGCGGAAUUCGUGGUGUAGCGGUGAAAUGCUUAGAUAUCACGAAGAACUCCGAUUGCGAAGGCAACUUACUAAACUGCCACUGACAUUGAUGCUCGAAAGUGUGGGUAUCAAACAGGAUUAGAUACCCCUGUAGUC